UCUUGAGAGUGGCGCACGGGUGCGUAACACGUAUGUAACCUACCUUAAUCAGGGGGAUAGCCUCUCGAAAGAGAGAUUAAGACCGCAUAACAUUGCACUAUGGCAUCAUAGAACAAUCAAAUAUUUAUAGGAUUAAGAUGGGCAUGCGGAACAUUAGCUAGUUGGUAAGGUAAUGGCUUACCAAGGCUACGAUGUUUGGGGGAUCUGAGAGGAUGACCCCCCACACUGGUACUGAGACACGGACCAGACUCCUACGGGAGGCAGCAGUAAGGAAUAUUGGUCAAUGGGCGGAAGCCUGAACCAGCCAUGCCGCGUGCA
rnacentral:rRNA from 1 species